GAUGAACGCUGACAGAAUGCUUAACACAUGCAAGUCUACUUGAACUUCGGUUUGGGUGGCGGACGGGUGAGUAACGCGUAAAGAACUUGCCUCACAGUUAGGGACAACAUUUGGAAACGAAUGCUAAUACCUGAUAUUAUGAUUUUAGGGCAUCCUAAAAUUAUGAAAGCUAUAUGCGCUGUGAGAGAGCUUUGCGUCCCAUUAGCUAGUUGGAGAGGUAACGGCUCACCAAGGCGAUGAUGGGUAGCCGGCCUGAGAGGGUGAACGGCCACAAGGGGACUGAGACACGGCCCUUACUACUACGGGAGGCAGCAGUGGGGAAUAUUGGACAAUGGACCAAAAGUCUGAUCCAGCAAUUCUGUGUGCACGAUGACGUUUUUCGGAAUGUAAAGUGCUUUCAGUUGGGAAGAAAAAAAUGACGGUACCAACAGAAGAAGUGACGGCUAAAUACGUG
rnacentral:rRNA from 1 species